UACGGAGGGGGCUAGCGUUGUUCGGAAUUACUGGGCGUAAAGCGCACGUAGGCGGCUUUGCAAGUUAGAGGUGAAAGCCCGGGGCUCAACUCCGGAAUUGCCUUUAAAACUGCAUCGCUAGAAUUGUGGAGAGGUAAGUGGAAUUCCGAGUGUAGAGGUGAAAUUCGUAGAUAUCGGGAGGAACACCAGUGGCGAAGGCGAUCACCUGGGGUUGUUCUGACGCUGAGGAGCGAAAGCUAGGGGAGCAAACGGG
rnacentral:rRNA from 1 species